rnacentral:rRNA from 1 species
UACGGGGGGGGCAAGCGUUGUUCGGAAUUACUGGGCGUAAAGGGCUCGUAGGUUGCCAACUAAGUCAGACGUGAAAUCCCUCGGCUUAACCGGGGAACUGCGUCUGAUACUGGAUGGCUUGAGUUCGGGAGAGGGGUGCGGAAUUCCAGGUGUAGCGGUGAAAUGCGUAGAUAUCUGGAGGAACACCGGUGGCGAAGGCGGCAUCCUGGACCGACACUGACACUGAGGAGCGAAAGCCAGGGGAGCAAACGGG